CCCCGCCCCGCCCGGCCCCCCCACCCGCGCGGCAACCUGCCCUGCAGAUCGGGAUAACUCCGCGGAAACCGGUGCUAAUACCGAAUAGUUUGCGGCCUCUCAUGAGGCUGUACGGAAAGACGGUUUCGGCUGUCACUGCAGGAUGGGCCCGCGGCGCAUUAGCUAGUUGGUGGGGUAACGGCCCACCAAGGCGACGAUGCGUAGCCGACCUGAGAGGGUGAUCGGCCACACUGGGACUGAGACACGGCCCAGACUCCUACGGGAGGCAGCAGUAGGGAAUCUUCCGCAAUGGACGAAAGUCUGACGGAGCAACGCCGCGUGAGUGAAGAAGGUUUUCGGAUCGUAAAACUCUGUUGUGAGGGAAGAACAAGUACCAAAUAACUACUGGACCUUGACGGUACCUCACCAAAAAGCCACGGCUAACUACCUGCCAGCACCCGCGGUAAUACGUAGGUGGCAAGCGUUGUCCG
rnacentral:rRNA from 1 species